UUUCUCUUAGUUUAAAGGUAAAACUGCAUUUUUCUAAAGCGCGAAUUCUGGUUCAACUCCAGGAGGGAGCU
rnacentral:tRNA from 1 species